rnacentral:piRNA from 1 species
UUAGAUAGUUUUUGUGAAUUU